UACAGGGGGGGCAAGCGUUGUUCGGAAUUACUGGGCGUAAAGGGUUCGUAGGUGGCCACUUAAGUCAGACGUGAAAUCCCUCAGCUUAACUGGGGACUGCGUCUGAUACUGGGUGGCUUGAGUGCAGGAGAGGAAUGCGGAAUUCCAGGUGUAGCGGUGAAAUGCGCAGAUAUCAGGAAGAACACCCGUGGCGAAGGCGGCUCUCUGGGACGGUACUGACGCUGAGACGCGAAAGCGUGGGGAGCGAACAGG
rnacentral:rRNA from 1 species